CUACGGGAGGCAGCAGUAGGGAAUUUUCCACAAUGGGCGAAAGCCUGAUGGAGCAACGCCGCGUGCAGGAUGAAGGCCUUCGGGUUGUAAACUGCUUUUAUUGGUGAUGAUUAUGACAGUAGCCAAUGAAUAAGGAUCGGCUAACUCCGUGCCAGCAGCCGCGGUCAUACGGAGGAUCCAAGCGUUAUCCGGAAUUACUGGGCGUAAAGAGUUGCGUAGGCGGUUAAGUAAGCGAAUAGUGAAACUGUGUGGCUCAACCAUGCACCCAUUGUUCGAACUGCUUUGACUAGAGAAUGAGAGAGGUCGCUAGAAUUCCUGGUGUAGGGGUGAAAUCCGUAGAUAUCAGGAGGAAUACCGAUGGCGUAGGCAGGCGACUGGCUCAUUUCUGACGCUCAGGCACGAAAGCGUGGGGAGCGAUCGGGAUUAGAUACCCUGGUAGUCC
rnacentral:rRNA from 1 species